rnacentral:ncRNA from 2 species
UUCUUAUCAAGAGAGGUGGAGGGACUGGCCCUACGAAACCUCAGCAACCAGUCGUCGUGGACACGGUGCUAAAUCCAGCUAAGCAAGUAUUGCUUGGAAGAUGAGAA